rfam:Anopheles melas strain CM1001059_A cont2.26036, whole genome shotgun sequence.
UGGAAAUGGCUAUCGGUGACUAUCCGGCAGAGUACAAUCCAAAGGUCCAUGGGCCCUACGAUCCAGCCCGAUUUUACGGGAAGGCUGAUGCUCCGUU